rnacentral:rRNA from 1 species
GAAUUCGAUUCAGGCCUAACACAUGCAGAGUCGAACGGCAGCACGGAUUUCGGUCUGGUGGCGAGUGGCGAACGGGUGAGUAAUAUAUCGGAACGUGCCCAGUCGUGGGGGAUAGCGUAGUGAAAAUUACGCUAAUACCGCAUACGAUCUAUGGAUGAAAGCGGGGGAUCGCAAGACCUCGCGCGAUUGGAGCGGCCGAUAUCAGAUUAGGUAGUUGGUGAGGUAAAGGCUCACCAAGCCGACGAUCUGUAGCUGGUCUGAGAGGACGACCAGCCACACUGGAACUGAGACACGGUCCAGACUCCUACGGGAGGCAGCAGUGGGGAAUUUUGGACAAU